rnacentral:lncRNA from 1 species
CUGUGCUCCUCUGAGUGACGUCAAACUCUGAUCACCCUCAGCUCCCAGGGAGGCCAGGGCGCACCCUGGACUGUCAUCCUGCCCAGUCACAAGAGGCUCCUUGCAAACCAGCACCAAGGCCAGGACAGUGCACUCCUCUCCCCGGUACACUAACUGUCACCUGAGGGAUCCGGGGAAGGAAAAUGUGUGCAGAUAAAUCCUAGACAGCUGAGAUGAGCUCACGAGAGCAGUGUGUACUGAGUGUGAGCACAGUGUGAACACUGCAGAGACUGUGAGCAGGGUUCAGCACAAGAGCACUGCUACCAGUGGCAUUGGCAUCAGCUGCCCUCCUGCCUGGCCCUUGUUGUUCUCAGGGCAACACAGGAAGCACAGGUCCAUGCCAGGCCUGCAGGACAGAGCACAGGAACAGGACGCAGCCCUGCCCUGGAGCUGCCAGCUGGGCCUCAAGGCAGCCAGGUCUAACAGAAUGACGCUUAAGGAAGACAAAGAGCAAGUGACAAGUGCAAGCAAGACAGAGCAAGCGCUGAGUGACAAGGAUGCAGGAGGCCUGGGAGAAGGCUGGCUGGGGGGGGCUUGGGGAAGGGUUCAGGAGAGCAGAGCAGGGAAGCUGUGCCUGGAGGGAGCUGGUGGGGUGGGGCAGAGAGGCGAGGGGGAGUUCAGCCCAGAACAGCAAAGAACUGGACCCUGGUGGAGGCAGCUGCAGGUGCAGGUGCACCGGGCAGGGACCUCAUAAAGGGCAGCAGUGAGCGCCUGUGCCUGCAGAAGGCCAGGCUGUGCAGCCUGCUGGACUCAGGCCCAGGACUGACUGAGCCCCAAAGGGACCUAGGGAGAAUUUCAUUCCUUUUCUGAGCACCCCUUCCCAGAUCUCAUAGCUCACUGCCUCUGGCUGAACACAGCUGGGUUGAAGGCUCAGAGCAGAGCAUUCUCCCUGCAGUGUUGCAAGGAGGAAGCAGAAACAGAAAUAUUAAAUGGAAAGUGAGAAACAAGGCCCUAUCUCAAAAAAUCACCACAAAGUUGUAGAACUGACUUUGGAUGUAACUCAGUGGCAGGGCUAUUGCCUAGUAUGUUGAAGACCCUGGGUUCAGUUGCCACCACCUCAAAACAAAACAAAUAAGUGAACAGAUUUGAAGAGAGGGAUUUUCAAAUUACCCAACUAAUGGAAAAGAAAAUAGACAAAAAGGAAAAGUAGUACCAAAGAAUAGGUAGAAAAUGAAACAACAAGGCAGGUGUGAUUACACCUGGAAUCCCAAUGCUCAGGAGCCUGAGCCAGGAGGAUCACGGUGAGUCCAGGGACAGCCUGGGCUACUUAGUGAGACCAUGUCUCAAAAAGCAAAAGAAGGGCCGGGGAUUUAGCUCAGUGGUUUCGAUGCCUGCUGUGCAAGCACAAGGACCCAAGUUCGAUCCCCAGUACCAAAAAAAAAAAAAAAAGCAAAAGAAAGAAAGAGAAUCGAACAAUAAAAUGUUCAAUUUAAAUUGAAAUAUAAUGACAAUUACAGUAAAUGUUCUGCACACUCCAAUUAAUGGGUAGAUGUUGCCACGUACAAUGGCACAUGCUGAAAUCUCAGUUACUCAGAAGGCUCUGGCAGGAGUA